UUCAGGGGUAAACCUGAGAAACCCGAAAGAUCGAAUGGGGAGAUUCAUCGUCAGCGAUUCUGGUACGUGUGCGGUUCGCGAUGCCGCGAGACCAUCUCGGUCACGUGGCACGCGUUCGCAUGUUUUCUUAUUGCCCGAAUCGUCGGCGUGCACUUCUCCCCUAGUAGGACGUCGCGACCCGUUGGGUGUCGGUCUACGGCGCGGGCGGUAGCCUGUCUUGUGUGCGCCCCACGGCGUUACGCGGGGCAGACCCUCGCGUUCCCGGCCGACUGCUCGGCGGUACUCGCACGGUAUCUGGCCGCAAAUAUUCGAACUGCGUCCGGCCCGUCGCAAGCUUGGCAAGUGUUUCCCGGCUGUUACGGAUCUAAUGCCGUCACCGGGCCUUGCUGGCUGUUGGUUGACGGUGUCCUGGGACUGGCUGUUGAAAAUUACGAUACCGGUCGGCGACGCUACUGCUUUGGGUACUUUCAGGACCCGUCUUGAAACACGGACCAAGGAGUCUAACAUGUGCGCGAGUCAUUGGGAUCUCGUAUAAAGCCUAAAGGCGCAAUGAAAGUGAAGGUCGGCCCCGCGCCGACCGAGGGAGGAUGGACCGCGUCACGAUGCGAUCUCGCACUCCCGGGGCGUCUCGAUCUCAUUGCGAGAAGAGGCGCACCCAGAGCGUACACGUUGGGACCCGAAAGAUGGUGAACUAUGCCUGGUCAGGACGAAGUCAGGGGAAACCCUGAUGGAGGUCCGUAGCGAUUCUGACGUGCAAAUCGAUCGUCGGAACUGGGUAUAGGGGCGAAAGACUAAUC
rnacentral:rRNA from 1 species